rnacentral:rRNA from 1 species
UACAGAGGUCCCGAGCGUUGUUCGGAUUCACUGGGCGUAAAGGGUGCGUAGGUGGUGACGUAAGUCGGAUGUGAAAUCUCGGAGCUUAACUCCGAAACUGCAUUGGAAACUGCGUUGCUAGAGGGUUGGAGGGGGGACUGGAAUGCUUGGUGUAGCAGUGAAAUGCGUAGAUAUCAAGCGGAACACCAGUGGCGAAGGCGAGUCCCUGGACAACACCUGACACUGAGGCACGAAAGCUAGGGGAGCAAACAGG